rfam:Corynebacterium falsenii DSM 44353 strain BL 8171, complete genome.
GGGGUCGAUGUGGUUUCGACUUUGUGCAUUGAGCCAGGGGAAGCGUGCCGGUGAAGGCAGAGGACCACCGUAUAAGCGUCGCUGCAACUUUAUAAGCGCCGAGAACACUCAGCGCGACUACGCCCUCGCUGCCUAAUACCAGCGACCGCGUGUCUGUCAGCCCGGGUUUGUCCCUGACCCGGUAGCUGGCAUCGACUCAAGGGACUUGCCACUCGGCUUUGUUGUUCGGGCCGAGUGGGACACCCUACGAGCAACUGGGCCCGUCAUUCAGACUUGUUCGCAAGAGCUGAAGGGUCGAGCAGAGACCAUGUGCGAACUGCGCACGGAGAAGCCCUGGCGAGGUCGCAAAGGACCCGGGUUCAAUUCCCGGCGGCUCCACCA